CAGGUCUCCUUCCACCAUCUCACGCUUUGAAGAGGUUCCAAAGCCACAGGCUCCAUCCAGAAGAGCAUCUGUCUCUGGUUCCCCCGCCCCUGGGUCCUGAAUGAACUCUGAGGAGUGAUGGGGCUGGAGAGAGUCUUACCUGUGCUGACCAGGGUGCUGUUGUUGUACAGGGUCCCCAGGUGCGGCCCGGACAGCGACAGGAAGGUGUGGAGCUUGUUGAGGUAACACCGGAACCGGGGCCGCGCUAGGACCGAUCGAAUGAUGAUGUUGCCCAGAGAAUGGCCGACAAAGCUGUUGAGAGACAGAAGCGUCCACGUGAGUGACAGCAGGAGGCUGGCUGCCAGGGAAGUGCUGCACCAGGAGCGCCAAGGGGGUGAAACCCCAGCUCCUUAGCCUGGCUUACGAGGCCAUGCAUGUCCCGACUUCUGCCUGCCUCUCCACUUCUACUCAUCCCUCAGUACGGUUAGUGAGUUGCCUGCUCUCAGCCCACAGCACAUGCUCUGCUCCAGCUGCACUGCUGCUCAAAGAUCUAUGGAUUCGACACAUCAUCACUUUCAAAUUAAAUGAUUAUUUAUCAAAACCCUAUUAUAUUAUAUAUUAUAUUAGCUCCCUAGC